GGUCCAGUAGCUCAGGGGAUAGAGCAUCUGCCUUCUAAGCAGACGGUCCUAGGUUCGAUUCCUAGCUGGAUCACCA
rnacentral:tRNA from 1 species